GAUCCUGGCUCAGGACGAACGCUGGCGGCGUGCUUAACACAUGCAAGUCGAGCGAGAGUCACUGGAAGGAGUUUUCGGACAACGGAAGGUGAGGACAGUGGCGGACGGGUGAGUAACGCGUGAGGAACCUGCCUUUCAGAGGGGGACAACAGUUGGAAACGACUGCUAAUACCGCAUGACACAUAGAGAUCGCAUGGUUUUUAUGUCAAAGAUUUAUCGCUGAAAGAUGGCCUCGCG
rnacentral:rRNA from 1 species